rnacentral:rRNA from 1 species
AGUGAACGCUGGCGGUAGGCCUAACACAUGCAAGUCGAACGGCAGCACAGUAAGAGCUUGCUCUUACGGGUGGCGAGUGGCGGACGGGUGAGGAAUACAUCGGAAUCUACUUUUUCGUGGGGGAUAACGUAGGGAAACCUACGCUAAUACCGCAUACGACCUACGGGUGAAAGCAGGGGAUCUUCGGACCUUGCGCGAUUGAAUGAGCCGAUGUCGGAUUAGCUAGUUGGCGGGGUAAAGGCCCACCAAGGCGACGAUCCGUAGCUGGUCUGAGAGGAUGAUCAGCCACACUGGAACUGAGACACGGUCCAGACUCCUACAGGAGGCAGCAGUGGGGAAUAUUGGACAAUGGGCGCAAGCCUGAUCCAGCCAUACCGCGUGGGUGAAGAAGGCCUUCGGGUUGUAAAGCCCUUUUGUUGGGAAAGAAAAGCAGCAGGUUAAUACCCCGCUGUUCUGACGGUACCCAAAGAAUAAGCACCGGCUAACUUCGUG